UCUUCCGUAGUAUAGUGGUCAGUAUGUGAGCUUGUCAUAGCCCGACAUCGCUCGAGACCCGGGUUCAAUUCCCGGCGGGAGAG